rnacentral:rRNA from 1 species
UACCAGCUCUCCGAGUUGUAGGGAUGAUUAUUGGGCUUAAAGCGUCCGUAGCUGGCUUAGCAAGUCUCCUGUUAAAUUCAGCGACCUAAUCGUUGAGCCGCGGGAGAUACUACUAGGCUAGGAGGCGGGAGAGGUCGACGGUACUUUCGGGGUAGGGGUGAAAUCCUAUAAUCCCGGGAGGACCACCAGUGGCGAAGGCUGUCGACUAGAACGCGCUCGACGGUGAGGGACGAAAGCUGGGGGAGCGAACCGGAUUAGAUACCCGGGUAGUCCCAGCUGUAAACUAUGCGGGCUAGGUGUUGGGGUGGCUACGGGCCACUUCAGUGCCGCAGGAAAGCCAUUAAGCCCGCCGCCUGGGGAGUACGGCCGCAAGGCUGAAACUUGAAGGAAUUGGCGGGGGAGCACCACAAGGCGUGAAGCUUGCGGUUC